AGUGACUGUUUUAAGUGGUUUUUUUUUCUUAAUUUAUGUUCUCUUGAAAUUCCAUGUACUGUUUAUCGAAAGAUUCCAAAUUUAAGGUGUAAAAAGAAAUGGGUUUAUGUCUGUCUAAUCUAUAGCUUUUCCAUUGAAACAUCAAAUAUCAAAAUUUGUGUUUAUCUUGUCAAAUUGUUGAUCCGACAUACGUUCUUUAAGAUCUGAUAGUUACAACAACGAAUUUUAGUCAUUUAUAUGCUUUUGGUUGUGAAAUUUGUGAGUCUGACCUAUUUUUUGCAUCUGCGUUAAACAUUUUCCCCAAAAAGUUGAAAUGAUUGUCGUAUUUGUGUUAGAUAUUUUUGCCAAAAAAUUGAAUCGUCAAAACCUUUUUGUGGUCCGCAGAACGCUUGUUGGAUAUGCUUGUCCCAAAUGUUGACUACUGUUUAAGAAAGGGGUUUUCGUGAACUUAAUGAAUGGACUAUAUCUCCAUUUCAUGGUCGUAAACUACAGCACUUGACCAAACACUUGAGUCUCAAAAUUUAAGCCCUAUACUUUAUGUCUUGUUGUAAGUUGAAGUGAUAUGAUUGAUGUUGGCUUAGUUGCACAUGUACAUUAUAUAGUUAUGGGAUAUUACAACCUACUUCCAUUUGAACUUAUUUCAAUAAUCCGUUUAGUUGCUUUUAAUAGGUGCAAUUGUUGUAGCUCGGCAAAAAAAGGAUAUAUCCCCAUAAUUGAGAUUGUGAUAAUACAUUUGACAGGGUGUUUCUGGUAGAUCCUGAUUAGGAUAAUCUGUAGUAUAGGAAUAAUAGGAAUUUGAGGUUGGGGAAAUUGUUUCAGUUAAGGUUUUGAUUUAGUUAACAUUAUUGAAUCAACAGAUAUAACAUUUCGGAUCAACCAAAACCUUUGGAGAAAAUUGGUGAUUAUUGUGGUGAAGGUUCAUUAAAUGAAGUAGUUGAAAUGGUUGGUAAUUUAUACAACAAAUGCUAUGAAGGAAGAGAAUGGGAAGCUAAUGAUGAUGUUUUGUAUCAAGAAAUAAUUAAGUGUUUACGUUAUAUUCAACAAAAUGUGAUAAUAGUAUUGUUGUGAAAAUGGAUCUCAAUCAUCCUUAUAAUUUCCUUCUCAAAAGUUAACCCGAUUCUCAUUUAGCAGAGCUGAAGAUAUAGAAAUAGGGAGGAAGAUGAUAGUGGAGAAAGUAACGAAAAUCAACAGUUACUAAGAGCUUUUCAAAGUAUUCCCUCAAAUUCAUUAUCCCCAGAAAAGUGUACAAAGCUGUUGGAGGGAGAUAGCCGAAGGAGGAGAAGGAAAAGGAAGAUAAAUGGAAAUUGAGAACCUGAAAUCGGUGUCAAAAUGGUUGACGUGAAAAUUAUGUGUGUUAUGGAUCGUGUCGACUUGAUGGAGAUUCUUUGUUUGGGUUAUGCUGAUAUAGAUUUGAACUCGAUUGAUUCACAAGGAGGAACAAGUUGCUAGAGUGAGUGUGUGUAUUGGUGUAUAAGGAGAAUGGGGAGAAUACCAUAUUGCAACAAGGACAUUUGGACCCCCGAGGAAGAUGAGAAGCUUGUUCAAUUUAUCAACAAGAAUGGUCAUACCAGCAGCCGUUCACUUUCUAAACUUGCAGUUGCCCCUCACCUCAUGAAUAAUCAAGAAAUGCAUCACUGAGCCCCCGAAUCUAGAACUGCUUGUCGUUCCAAUCCAGUUCCAACAAUGCAUUUCUCAAAACGAGAAAGAGGAACUGCAUUAAGACAAAAGUGUUUAGAGUUUUGUUACAAUUUCAGGGUUCCCAAUGCUUUGCAUCAGUAUGAGAAAUUAACAGAAGAAAAAGAAAAAAAUGUAAGUGAUUGUUCUGUCGAAUCCAUCUUUCUCAUUAUAUCAUCUCUUUUUUAGGCAAAAGUUUUUUUUAAAGUACACAUCAUUUCUGUAUAUUUAUUAUGAUGAGGCAAUAAUUGUUGGUGUGUUUGGUAUAUAUAAAACUACUGCGUGUCCAGGUACAGUAAUUGAUACACAAUAAACAAUAAUCAUAUAUAAGCAGGAGAAGCAUACUACUAUGUAUAUUUUUUUUUACAAACACUAUAGUGACACAAAAUUAUACAUUAAGCUUAAUUAGAGCUUGUAAAACUGAAGUGCUGCUUCAGAAUCGCCAUGUUUUAUUGCAUAGGUGUACAAUAACUCCUUGUACUGGUAAGCCUUGUAUAGUCGAUUUUUUGUUGAUCUUUUGGCAAUCUAAGGAGAUUACAAAAGUACCCACAGAGACUCGAGCUUUUUUGGAUUUGUCACUGCUUGAAUAGGUGAUGGCGAGAUCCAAAUUCGUCAUUUCGUGGUUUAUGGCAACAUCAUAGAUUUUUUCACAACAACAAUUCCCCAAAAAUGUUUCUACACUACCAUGGAAUUAUUAUUAUUAGAUAAUACACCCUCCAUUCUCUCCGAUUAGUUUUUAUGUAACAUAUUUGUUUCAUGCUCUAUUAUGGAUUUUGCUUAUUAUUCUUUGUCCUGUGCCGGGGGUCUAUCAAAAACAGCCUUGCUACCUCUCCGGAGGUAGUGGUAUGGACUGCGUACAUUUUACACUCCCCAAACUCCACUGUGUGGGAAUACACUGAAUUUGUUGUUGUUGUCGUCUAAUUGUAACAUACCAAA